rnacentral:rRNA from 1 species
AGUGAACGCUGGCGGUAGGCCUAACACAUGCAAGUCGAACGGCAGCACAGUAGAGCUUGCUCUUACGGGUGGCGAGUGGCGGACGGGUGAGGAAUACAUCGGAAUCUACUUUUUCGUGGGGGAUAACGUAGGGAAACUUACGCUAAUACCGCAUACGACCUACGGGUGAAAGCAGGGGAUCUUCGGACCUUGCGCGGUUGAAUGAGCCGAUGUCGGAUUAGCUAGUUGGCGGGGUAAAGGCCCACCAAGGCGACGAUCCGUAGCUGGUCUGAGAGGAUGAUCAGCCACACUGGAACUGAGACACGGUCCAGACUCCUACGGGAGGCAGCAGUGGGGAAUAUUGGACAAUGGGCGCAAGCCUGAUCCAGCCAUACCGCGUGGGUGAAGAAGGCCUUCGGGUUGUAAAGCCCUUUUGUUGGGAAAGAAAAGCAGCAGGUUAAUACCCCGCUGUUCUGACGGUACCCAAAGAAUAAGCACCGGCUAACUUCGUG